AUUGAACGCUGGCGGCAUGCCUUACACAUGCAAGUCGAACGGCAGCACGGGUGCUUGCACCUGGUGGCGAGUGGCGAACGGGUGAGUAAUACAUCGGAACGUACCUUAUCGUGGGGGAUAACGCAGCGAAAGUUGCGCUAAUACCGCAUACGCCCUGAGGGGGAAAGCGGGGGACCGUAAGGCCUCGCGCGAUUAGAGCGGCCGAUGUCUGAUUAGCUUGUUGGUGAGGUAAAAGCUCACCAAGGCGAUGAUCAGUAGCUGGUCAGAGAGGACGAUCAGCCACACUGGGACUGAGACACGGCCCAGACUCCUACGGGAGGCAGCAGUGGGGAAUUUUGGACAAUGGGGGCAACCCUGAUCCAGCAAUGCCGCGUGAGUGAAGAAGGCCUUCGGGUUGUAAAGCUCUUUUGUCAGGGAAGAAACAGCAGCUCUAACACAGUCUGCGAAUGACGGUACCUGAAGAAUAAGCACCGGCUAACUUCGUGCCAGCCGCCGCAGUAA
rnacentral:rRNA from 1 species